AGAGUGAACGCUGGCGGUAGGCCUAACACAUGCAAGUCGAACGGCAGCACAGUGGUAGCAAUACCAUGGGUGGCGAGUGGCGGACGGGUGAGGAAUACAUCGGAAUCUACCUUUUCGUGGGGGAUAACGUAGGGAAACUUACGCUAAUACCGCAUACGCCCUUCGGGGGAAAGCCGGGGAUCGCAAGACCUGGCGCGGAUAGAUGAGCCGAUGUCGGAUUAGCUAGUUGGUGAGGUAAUGGCUCACCAAGGCGACGAUCCGUAGCUGGUCUGAGAGGAUGAUCAGCCACACUGGAACUGAGACACGGUCCAGACUCCGUACGGGAGCA
rnacentral:rRNA from 1 species